UUUUUUUCAACACACUUUUUAAACAAUUGAAAUUGAAAUUAUCUUUAUUCGCUUGGAGAGAAGACUGGAAUUGAAAUUUUUGACUAAUCAUCACCAUAAACAUGCACACAUGAGGAGUGGCUUUUUGCACUAGCUCGCCAUGUGAGUUGUUUUUCUUCUCAUACCAAUUUCCAUGUUCUCCAAGCAACAACAUCCGUAGCUAGGUGAGCCAGAACAGUAUUAAAGUAAAAAUAACAUAUUUUAAGGUAUUCUUGAACACUAGGGAUUUGAGAAAGACAAACAAAAAACAUUGUGAUGCAUCAUGAUUUUAAAAUAAUUCCUUACAACAAGUGAUUGAUGAUUCAAUGGGUCUCCAUAUGUGUUAUCUCUUUAUCAUUUUUUUAUUUCCUUGAAUAUGAGUAGUUAAGUUCUUUAAAAUAG
rnacentral:lncRNA from 1 species